UACGUAGGGGGCAAGCGUUGUCCGGAUUUAUUGGGCGUAAAGAGCUCGUAGGCGGUUUGUCGCGUCUGCCGUGAAAGUCCGGGGCUCAACUCCGGAUCUGCGGUGGGUACGGGCAGACUAGAGUGAUGUAGGGGAGACUGGAAUUCCUGGUGUAGCGGUGAAAUGCGCAGAUAUCGAGGAGAACAGCCGAGUGGCGAAGGCAGGUCUGCUAGGCAUUAACUGACGGCUGAGGAAGCGGAAAGCAUGGGGAGCGA
rnacentral:rRNA from 1 species